rnacentral:rRNA from 1 species
UACGGAGGGGACUAGCGUUGUUCGCAAUUACUGGGCGUAAAGCGCACGUAGGCGGAUUUGUAAGUCAGGGGUGAAAUCCCGGGGCUCAACCUCGGAACUGCCUUUGAUACUGCAAAUCUCGAGUCCGGAAGAGGUGAGUGGAAUUCCUAGUGUAGAGGUGAAAUGCGCAGAUAUCGGGAGGAACACCAAUGGCGAAGGCAGCUCGCUGGGGCGGUACUGACGCUGAGACGCGAAAGCGUGGGGAGCAAACAGG